rnacentral:rRNA from 1 species
UACAGAGGGUGCGAGCGUUAAUCGGAAUUACUGGGCGUAAAGCGCGCGUAGGCGGCUUGGUAUGUCGGGUGUGAAAUCCCCGGGCUCAACCUGGGAACUGCAUCCGAAACUGCCUUGCUAGAGUAUGGGAGAGGGAAGUGGAAUUUCCGGUGUAGCGGUGAAAUGCGUAGAUAUCGGAAGGAACAUCAGUGGCGAAGGCGACUUCCUGGACCAAUACUGACGCUCAGGUGCGAAAGCGUGGGGAGCAAACAGG